rnacentral:rRNA from 1 species
CCGAAGCUGUGGAUUGUCCUUUGGACAAUGGUAGGAGAGCGUUCUAAGGGCGUUGAAGCAUGAUCGCAAGGACAUGUGGAGCGCUUAGAAGUGAGAAUGCCGGUGUGAGUAGCGAAAGACGGGUGAGAAUCCCGUCCACCGAUUGACUAAGGUUUCCAGAGGAAGGCUCGUCCGCUCUGGGUUAGUCGGGUCCUAAGCUGAGGCCGACAGGCGUAGGCGAUGGAUAACAGGUUGAUAUUCCU